GAGCGCUCGGGAGUCUAGUGUCUUCUGAGGUGCGCGAAAAAGUCUUGAACCAAGGGUUGUUGUGGGUCGAUCGUGCUUUUGUAUUCAAUGA
rnacentral:tRNA from 1 species